rnacentral:tRNA from 1 species
GCGGGAGUAAUUCAACUGGUAGAAUGCCACCCUUCCAAGGUGGAUGUUUGUGGGUUCGAGCCCCAUCUCCCGCU